rnacentral:rRNA from 1 species
UUCGCAAUGCCCGAAAGGGUGACGAAGCGACGCCGCGUGUGGGAAGAAGGCCUUCGGGUUGUAAACCACUGUCGGGAGUUAAGAAAUGCAAGGAUAUUAAUAGUGUCUUUGUUUGACUAAGGCUCCGGAGGAAGCCACGGCUAACUCUGUGCCAGCAGCCGCGGUAAUACAGAGGCGGCAAGCGUUGUUCGGAAUUAUUGGGCGUAAAGAGCACGUAGGCGGCUGUGUAAGUCGGUUGUGAAAGCCUUCCGCUUAACGGAAGAACGGCAUCCGAUACUGCAUAGCUUGAGUGCGGGAGGGGAGAGUGGAACUUCUGGUGGAGCGGUGAAAUGCGUAGAUAUCAGAAGGAACACCGGCGGCGAAGGCGACUCUCUGGUCCGUAACUGACGCUGAGUGUGCGAAAGCUAGGGGAGCAAACGGGAUUAGAUACCCCGGUAGUCCUAGCCGUAAACGAUGGGCACUAAGUAGAGGGGUUUU